rnacentral:rRNA from 1 species
UACGUAGGGUGCGAGCGUUGUCCGGAAUUAUUGGGCGUAAAGAGCUCGUAGGCGGCUUAGUAAGUCGGGUGUGAAACCUCCAGGCUCAACCUGGAGACGCCACCCGAUACUGCUGUGGCUAGAGUCCGGUAGGGGAGCGUGGAAUUCCUGGUGUAGCGGUGAAAUGCGCAGAUAUCAGGAGGAACACCAGCGGCGAAGGCGGCGCUCUGGGCCGGUACUAACGCUGAGGAGCGAAAGCGUGGGGAGCAAACAGG